UCUAACUGUGAUGUCUCCCUAAUUUUCCAAAUGUUUCUUUUUUUACCUGAGAUAUCUCUGUAUUCCCCAGGUGUGUCCUGGAUACUUCUCUAAUUCCUCAGGUGUGUCUACCCUGAUUCUGGAUGUCUGCCAACUCCCAGCACCCAGAGUAAUAACAUGGGAGCUCCAUGACUUGUGGAGA